AUCCAGCUGAUGAGUCCCAAGUAGGACGAAAUGUGCAUCCUGGAU
rnacentral:hammerhead_ribozyme from 1 species